rnacentral:rRNA from 1 species
AUAGCGUGCGGCAGGCCUAAACAUGCAAGUCGAACGGUAACAGGAAACAGCUUGCUGCUUCGCUGACGAGUGGCGGACGGGUGAGUAAUGUCUGGGAAACUGCCUGAUGGAGGGGGAUAACUACUGGAAACGGUAGCUAAUACCGCAUAACGUCGCAAGACCAAAGAGGGGGACCUUAGGGCCUCUUGCCAUCGGAUGUGCCCAGAUGGGAUUAGCUAGUAGGUGGGGUAACGGCUCACCUAGGCGACGAUCCCUAGCUGGUCUGAGAGGAUGACCAGCCACACUGGAACUGAGACACGGUCCAGACUCCUACGGGAGGCAGCAGUGGGGAAUAUUGCACAAUGGGCGCAAGCCUGAUGCAGCCAUGCCGCGUGUAUGAAGAAGGCCUUCGGGUUGUAAAGUACUUUCAGCGGGGAGGAAGGGAGUAAAGUUAAUACCUUUGCUCAUUGACGUUACCCGCAGAAGAAGCACCGGCUAACUCCGUGCCAGCAGCCGGAUAAAUAA